CAAGAGUCCUGUCAGCCCUCCCGGAUCACCUGCGGAAAGAGAAGGCGCUCAGCUGCCAGCAAGCCCAAAAUGGAGCCCGAAGCUUUUGGCUGACAACUUCGCUGUAGAGCCGGCACUCCAGCAGGUUCGGGCACAACGCCGGUGCCUUGCAUCCCGCACACGGAGGUAUUUUGGUGCGACCAGAGUAGAAACGCGCAGCCCGAGGAAGCGGGGCAGUUGUGGACGCCCCGGGCGAUGCUCAGCACCGGCCGGCACUGCCCGGCCCGGGCGCUCCCUUCGUCCAGCGCCGCGGCAGAAGGACCCGCACGGAGCAAACGGAACCCGCCCCGCUGAGCACCGGCAGCUCGGGUGCGCUUUAACCCCAGGCUUCGCACCUCUGAUGUGCUCAGAUCACCUCUGGGCCGGCAGGGAUGUCUCGAUGGAGAGACCUUACAGACCGGAAAGAUGCUUCACAAGUCAUUUUGUAGCUAUUUUUCAAAGCACCGCAUCAGUUGCGAUACCUACAACGUUUCCUUCCGGGGAUGUCUGGGCAAAGAGCGAUCAGGGGAUACUGAGGUCAUUUUGCCUGUAGGUUUUGUCCUUUAUGGGUUGGUAUGAGCUACCCUACUCUGCACAGCAGCUAGAGAUCUCUGAGAUCUGUGGUGCUUUACACUGCAAAAAUAAUACCUUUCUGACAGUUUAAGCAGUACAAUACAGUUUAGCAUAACUGCAUAAACAGCAGUACUUGGGCUUUUAACAGUAACUCUGUCAUCACAAAGACAAUAGUGCUUAUAUUUAUUUUUUAAAACCUUAAGAAAACCAUUCAUCUUUUCUAUUAUUAAAGAUUUUGGGUACUGAUGAAGGAUCAUAAAACUGAAAUAGAGCACAAUCUCAAUUUUUAUAUUCAGUGGAAGCUGUCCUAACAAGGAUCUUAGUUUUCCUGUUGCCACAUUGCAGCAUGCUCUGGCAGAAGCCUUUCCUACAAAUGAAGGGGUAUCAAAAAGAAGCCUUCAUUUUGCUGAGGGAUGUAAACCUCCAAAUGAAAUUUGGAGCUGCUCUUUCUUGCAGCUGCUUGACAUGACAUUUAUGUCAAAUGCCAACAGAAAUCCAUAACUUCUCUUUCCUCAGGCUAGAGAAAAAAGAGAAAGUAGAGAAGGCAGAAAUUCCUUCCAUUACAUGUAGGCCAACACAGAGAUAAAAGCUUCCUGAAAACUGGAGCCAAGAUUUCACCUUGUGGAAGAACACAAGUGUUGGAGAAAUGCAUUUUUUUUCCCUUUAAUACUCUUAUUUGUCCUUUUCCAGCCUCAUUUUGGUUUGUUUGUUGUUUGUUUUUUUUUUUUUUAAUUGUAAAUCACGAAAGAUUGACCCAGUCUUUCCUCGAGGGGCAUUUGUCAUAAUAACUACUACCAUUUUGGGGAGGGCAUUUUUCAUUUACCCUACUACUUCGUAGCUCCUUUUGCCAGACUCCCUCUGUGCGACUCCUCUGUAGCAGCUGAAACGUAUAGGUAUAAAAACAUCAGCCUCUGUGUGUUACUUGAGUUUCAUGAGCUGAAGGAUGAUCAGGACUGACACCCCACUUGAGAUUCACCACAAAUAAGAUUUGUGUAUUUAAAGAAAUUUUAUAGGCGCUGGGCCAUAAACUUCACUCUUGGCUCAUCUUUGCAUCCAGCAGCUCUUGAGCUCACGCAGCGACACACAGGGAGUGGUUAAUGAACACUGGUUAUUCCACCUCAAGGUGCAGUUUUACACCCAGCCUUCUUGUCUGUACUUCUCAAAGCAGGGAAGUGUUACAAACAUGUUUAAAUGAAUCCCAGCAUUGUGCA